GGUGGAAUCAGAAGAGACGACGUGGUCGUCUAUAACUGAAACAACCUAGAAAAGAAUCAGCACCACGUACUCUAAAGGCUGCUACAAAAGCACAUGAGAAGACUUGUUUAUAAAGUCGCUCUCGUUUUGAAGACACCCAAACCGGAAAAGACAGAUAGAUACAGUGGUAGGAAUGACUGAGGAUCGAGACAUCAGUGGUUUCUGGUGGGGACUUUUUAUUAACAUGAAUGAUAGUUGAAUGUCAUGUCUGCUUCAUGUGACUCUUCCGCUAAAGCUCUUCUAACAUUAGUAAACACGCCAAAGCCGCCAAUUUCACCUGGUUCAAAACUACUAUAGGACUGAGGUAUAAUUCAGUGCCAGAACACCAAAUGUGGUCCAAUUCUCAGCACUGUUAAAAAAAAAAUAACGGCAUAUACAAUGCUUAUCAAACAUAAUUGUAAUUCUCAUAAUUAUGUCUAAUUCUUUCUUCUUUUUCCAGUUUUCAUGUGUAGGCUGGUGUAUGGAUGCACGUUUUUGUACAUGUCUGUGGCUGCCUGUGCUGUGUGUGUGCAUGCAUGUGAGUUCAGGCCAGAGGUUGGUCUAUUACUCUUCCACCUUACCCAUUCCGUCAGUCUCCCAACCAAACGCAGUGCUUGCCAGCACAGCCAGGCUUGCUAGGUGGCUUCCUUUGAGGCAUGCAGGUCUGUGUCUUCUGGGGCUGGAAUUAAAGGCAGCCACACCCAUCAUAAUUUACUUAGGUGUCUGGGGAUUUGCUACGCCCACAGCUGUUACACCUGUGUAGCUGUAGCAAAUCAUGCCGCUGCGCUGGGGUCCAGCAGCUGAAGGGUUAAGGUUGGAGCUUCCUGGAGCAAGGCCUCAAGCGGUUCCCCCACAAUCAGCAGUCGCCAUGCAGCCUGAGGAUUCCAGGAGGCCCUGGAGGACAAGAUGGCCUUGGCGACAGUCCUUGUUGGCACUAAUCAUGCUUUCUCUCUAAGUCAGGUACGGUUCUUACCAGGGAGCUGCAGUCCCGCCGGUAAAGGAUCACCGGUUAAGUGAUGCCGAUUCCCCCAUCUGGAUCCCGGAUCGCCUUAUCCGACGUGCAAAGGGAGAAAAGAAGGCGCAAGCGCCGCUGGAGGAAGCAACAGAAAAAGCUGGUGACGGAAAUGAAAAAGAUAAAACUCGGCAGCGAGAAACCAAAAGUGAUUUGGUCACAGAUUCGGCUUCUGACUCAGAAUACAAAAAAGCUCUUAAUUGAACAGGGAAAACCCCUCACCGCUUCAUUUUAUUUCAUUGCCUUUUUGUCUUUGAUCUCUGCCCCGCUACCGGUAGCUCAGGGAGUUUCCUAUUGGGCAUAUGUUCCUAAUCCCCCGAUUAUUCAGCCAGUAGGAUGGCUUGAUCGGGAACCCAUCAAAGUGUUAACAAAUGAUUCAGUCAGGUUGGGUGGAGCUCAAGAUUCUGACGCCCGAAACAGCUCCUCCUCUUUAAUAAAUUUUGAGGGCAGAGCAGAUUCACUACCAAUCUGCCUAACACUACAAGGGAAAGUGCCUUACGGCUGCUUUCCGACAUCUUACAGAACCUUCCUGACUGACGGUCCAGACAAAGCGAGUGCUGGUAGGCGAUGGGUUUGAGAGCUACGGAUACAAACUUUAGGAGACAGACUGUAUAGAGAUAAUUUUACUCAAGUUAAUACUAUUCCUAUAACUCCUUGCAUUCAAAAAUAUAGAGACAAGGAUCAAUUUUGGGAUUCUUCCUUGUCCAAGUUUCCAGCUUGGUUGACUUGUGGCUUUCCUAAUGCUGCUGCGUGGUAUGAACCACGGGGGUCGUUGGAUGUGCUUCAAGUUUGGGACUACUCUAAUUCUAAUGACAAAGGAGAGACUUAUAAAAAUUACUUGAAUACUCAUAAAGAGAAAUUUCAUGAGUAUGUCUUUAAGGGACAUGGAGAGCCCCUUAGGAGAUGGUUCUCUCCAGGCCUUGUCAAACCUACAUGGUUUACAAAACAAGGCAACAUCACUAAAAAACAUUCUGAUUUAUUUAGGCUUGUUACAGCUGCCAACAUGAUGCUAGAGAAAAAGCCUAACCAUACUCAACCAGAGGCCAUUGGUCUUCGAGCCUGCGUAUCCUACCCUAAUGCUUUACUCUUGGCACAAUCUUCCUUUGUUAAUAUUUCACGAGGUGAUAAUUCAUUUCAGAUAAUUUGUAGUUCUUGUAAAUUAACAAAUUGUAUCACUUCCUCGGAGCCGAAAGAUUUGGAAACUGUGAUUAUAGUUCGGCGACCUCCUUUUGUCAUGUUGCCUGUGGAACUAGGCCCUGAGCCUUGGUAUGAUAAUUCAGCCUUACAAGUAUUAAAUACUUUGAGAGAUUUGAUUCGGCCAAAACGGUUUGUUGCUGCAUUAUUUUUGGGCAUUACUGCAUUAAUUUCUAUAAUUACUACUUUUGCUGUUGCAACUACAGCUCUAGUUCAAGAAAUUCAUACUGCUCAUUAUGUGAAUACUCUUAAUAAAAAUAUUACUAUGGCUCUGCUCGAGCAGGAGGCUAUAGAUAAAAAAUUAGAGUCAAAAAUUAAUGUUUUAGAAAAAAUGGUUUUGGCCUUAGGACAAGAUAUUUCUAACCUUAAGGCCACAAUGUUUGCUCGCUGCCAUGGUAAUUUUAAAUCCAUCUAUGUUAUUCCAUUACCUUAUAAUACUUCUCAGCCUUGGGAAAAGGUCAAGGCCCACCUGCAAGGUGUCUGACAAGAUACAGAUAUUACUCAUGAUUUAGAUACACUUCAGAAAGACAUCUCAGCUAUGAGUCAGACCCAUUUACAGAUAGGAGGUUUACAAGACCUAGCUUCAAAAAUAAAAAAGGAAAUCAAAGAUUUAAAUCCGAUGGAUUGGCUACAAUAUUUUAUAGUCAUUGGAGUGCUUAUUUUACUGGUGGUGCUUGUCAUCUUUCUUUUCCCUUGUCUCAUUAAAUGUCUCUAUACUUCUGUAAAAACAGUACAACAAGACGUGUUUGAGCUUCAUUUUAAAAACAAAAAAGGAAAAACUGCUACGCCCACAGCUGUGACACCUGUGUAGCUGUAGCAAAGCAUGCCGCUGCGCUGGGGUCCAGCAGCUGAAGGGUUGAGGUUGAAGCUUCCUGGAGCGGGGCCUCAGGCAGUUCCCCCGCAAUCAGCAGUCGCCAUGCAGCCUGAGGAUUCCAGGAGGCCCUGGAGGACAAGAUGACCUUGGCGACAGUCCUUGUUGGCACUAAUCAUGCUUUUUCUCUGUAUGUCUUUUCUGUGGGGGGGGGGGCGUUGGUGGACAGCCCCUAGGUGGACCCCUGAGAGUGGAAAUUACCUAGAGCUGCUCCCAUAUACGGGAGGCUAUGAUGAAGUUGGGAAUAGAUGAGUGAAUCAUGAAGGAAAGAAACAACUUUGGAGUGAUUUGCCUUUUAUGGAAAGGCUAGCCAGGACUAGAAAGCCUUGGUGCCUUUAUAGUAAAGAAGAAAGACAGCAGAUCAUAGAAAAUAUGAAGCCAGUCCUAAGGUAUUGGUAUAGAAGGGUAUAUGACAACUGGAAGGAUAAGUGGAUAUAUAGGAGUGAGGAAGAAAUACAUGAUAUUAUACAAAAGUAUAUAGAGGGUGAGUUAAACCUUGGCUGGUAAAAAUCUGGUUCCCACAGAUGUGGUCUUUGGCGUGAGACAGAUUUCACAAAUUUCUGAGAUCAUGCCCUUAAGCAACAACUGCAAUGAACUCCAAGCUGCGGAAGUGAUACACAGAAAUAGAUACUGAUGUACUUUGUUAUUGUCUCUUGCAUUACACAGAAAUAGAUACUGAUAUACUUUGUUAUUGUUUUUUGCUGAUUCUGAAGUAAUUGUAAAAGUUAAAAGUCUGAUGUAACCCCCUGCCAAGUUCCUUGAUUGUAAAAGAAUAUAAGCACUGAUUUUGCAGAAGUAAAUCUGCAGCAGCACAUCAA